rnacentral:rRNA from 1 species
AGAGUUUGAUCCUGGCUCAGGACGAACGCUUGCGACGUGCCUAAGAUAUGCAAGUCGAACGGGGCAGUUUUCGGACUGUCUAGUGGCGAACGGUCGCGUAACACGUGGGCAACCUGCCCUGAAGCGGGGGACAACAGCCUGAAAGGGCUGCUAAUACCGCAUGUGAACGGGGGUGGCAUCACUCUUUGUUCAAAGCCUCCGGGCACUUCAGGAUGGGCCCGCGGCCUAUCAGCUGGUUGGGGGGGUAACGGCCCACCAAGGCUUCGACGGGUAGCUGGUCUGAGAGGACGAUCAGCCGGAUUGGGACUGAGAUACGGCCCAGACUCCUACGGGGGGCAGCAAUUAGGAAUCUUGCACGAUGGGGGAAACCCUGAUGCAGCGACGUCGCGUGUGGGAUGAAGCCUUUCGGGGCGUAAACCACUUUUACCGGGGAAGAAGACAGUGACGGUACCCGGUGAAUAAGCCCCGGCUAACUACGUGCCAGCAGCCGCGGUAAUACGUAGGGGGCCAGCGUUGUCCGGAGUUACUGGGCGUAAAGGGUCCGAAGGCGGUUCGCUACGUUUCUCGUGACAGUCUCCGGCUCAACUGGAGAAGGACGGGGAAAACGAGCAGACUUGAGGGCGUGAGAGGAAGGCGGAAUUCCAGGUGGAGUGGUGAAAUGCGUAGAUAUCCGGAGGAACACCAAAGGCGAAGGCAGCCUUCUGGGACGCACCUGACGCUACGGGACGAAAGCCAGGGGAGCGAACGGGAUUAGAUACCCCGGUAGUCC